AGUGUGCUCAUAAAAGAGGCCCCAGAGAGAUCCUUCGCCGCUUCCGCCCAGUGAGGACACAUCAGGAAGAGAGCUAUGAAUCAAGAAGAGAGCUCUCACAGGACACCAAAUCUGCCGGAGCCUUGAUCUUGGACUUCCCAGCUUCCAGAACUCAGGAAAUGACUGACCUGCCUGGCCAUGUCGAGUGACAUAUAAUCCAUGCCUGUAGCAGGGAACCCCUAAGGGGUGAACAUGAGGUUUUAGCCUCUUCCUACACCUGACAGAGAGGAGAAUGAACGGUGGACAUCAUCCCACAGAGCCGUGGCGUGCCAAGGCGGUGAGCUACAUGCUCUGUGCCUGGAAAGCUGACCACUGUGGAUUGCAGCUCUCGGGCUCUCUCUAACUUCCAGGAAUGGAAACAGAAGCCCCAGGAUGCUAAAUAACUUCCCCAAGAUGAUGGAGCAAGAGGAGGGGUGGAGCCGGGACUGCCGACGUGCCUGCCAAGCCCAAGGCCAGGCUUCUGCUAUUCACGGCUGCUCGCUUCGUUCUGGGGCAAGGGCAGUCUGAGACCUGGGAGGCCAGGCAGGCACCUGGGAGGAAGCGGGGCUGGGGUGCUGGGGAGGCAGUGGUUGGGUGGCUUCCGCCUGCCCGGGGAGCAGAGCACGGCUGCCACUGGCCCUGCCCUAUGGGCACAGUGUGUCCCUUCAUCUGUAAAUGGGAUGAUGAUGGUACCUGCCUGCCUGCCAUGGCGGACAGGCGUGAGCACCGAGUGAGACUCAGGCCCCAGUCAGAGGAAACUGUCUCCCUGCCCAGCCUUUGUAUGUCUGAGGCUGGUGACAAAGGGCACUUGGAAAACAGCCUCUGGCAGAGGGGAUGUGACAGCCUUGCGGACAGGUCCCUGCCCCAGGAAGGGCAUUGAAUGCCCGGUUGAGCCCUGGCAGCUGCACUAACUAUAAAGUAGUUGGGGGGGACUGGGACAGAGGCUU